rnacentral:misc_RNA from 1 species
AACGCACAUUGCGCCCCUUGGUAUUCCUUGGGGCAUGCCUGUUCGAGCGUCACUGCAAACCCCCUCAUAGAAAUUAUGGUAUUGAUGGAAGUGAACUAAGCCUACCAAUUUGCUUAGGUCACCCCAUCGAAAUGCAUAGGCAGGACAAUCAACCUCCGCAAUGGACUUAGUAGCUGUUUUGAAGACAUGAAUCAGUCCUUUGCUAGGUUCUGGCCUGGCCUCCAUGGACCUCCAUCCAAAAUGAACUCUGGGUUGACCUCGGAUCAGGUAGGGAUACCCGCUGAACUUAA